UACGUAGGGUGCGAGCGUUAAUCGGAAUUACUGGGCGUAAAGCGUGCGCAGGCGGUUCGUGAUGUCUGGUGUGAAAGCCCCGGGCUUAACCUGGGAAUUGCAUUGGAAACUAGCGGGCUGGAGUACGGCAGAGGGAGGUGGAAUUCCACGUGUAGCAGUGAAAUGCGCAGAGAUGUGGAGGAACACCGAUGGCGAAGGCAGCCUCCUGGGCUAGUACUGACGCUCAUGCACGAAAGCGUGGGGAGCAAACAGG
rnacentral:rRNA from 1 species